GACGAACGCUGGCGGCGUGCCUAAUACAUGCAAGUAGAACGCUGAAGGAGGAGCUUGCUCUUCUGGAUGAGUUGCGAACGGGUGAGUAACGCGUAGGUAACCUGCCUGGUAGCGGGGGAUAACUAUUGGAAACGAUAGCUAAUACCGCAUAAAAUUGAUUAUUGCAUGAUAGUCAAUUAAAAGGUGCAAUUGCAUCACUACCAGAUGGACCUGCGUUGUAUUAGCUAGUUGGUGAGGUAACGGCUCACCAAGGCAACGAUACAUAGCCGACCUGAGAGGGUGAUCGGCCACACUGGGACUGAGACACGGCCCAGACUCCUACGGGAGGCAGCAGUAGGGAAUCUUCGGCAAUGGACGGGAGUCUGACCGAGCAACGCCGCGUGAGUGAAGAAGGGUUUCGGAUCGUAAAGCUCUGUUGUAAGAGAAGAACGAGUGUGAGAGUGGAAAGUUCACACUGUGACGGGAUCUUACCAGAAAGGGACGGCUAACUACGUG
rnacentral:rRNA from 1 species